rnacentral:rRNA from 1 species
ACGAACGACGGACUCGAAGCGCCUGGAAGAGGUGGGGUGCGCGCGUUAAUUGGAAUAACAGGGCGUGAAGCGUGGGCAGGCGGUGGGUUAAGUCAGAUGUGAGAUCCCCGGGUUCAACCUGGUAACUGCAUUGGAGACUGCACGGCUAGAUUGGUACAGAGGUGGGUAGAAUGCCACGUGUAGCAGUGAAAUGCGUAGAGACGUGGAGGAAUACCGAUGGCGAAUGCAGCCCCCUGGGGUACUACUGACGCUCAUGCACGAAAGCGUGGGGAGCAAACAGGAUUAGAGACCCUGGUAGUC